rnacentral:lncRNA from 1 species
UCAUAGGGCAGGCCAUGCUGUGCCUGAAUGCCACCUCCUCUGAGCCUCUUGUCUUCCCUGCAGGUCUCCUGCCCCUGGGUGAGGGGCCCAACAACAACUUGGCCAUCUCAGGGCACACAGCAGCCACACCAGUCACCCUCGCCACCACACAUGCCCUUCCACCAGGGCUUCUGGCCAUCAUCAGUGCAGAGAAGUUGGUCACAGGGUUGUCCUAGGCCCAACAUGGUCCCGCCUGCCCCUCACCAGCGGCCCAUGAGUGCCAACGGGAAGAUGUUUUCCUUUGUGAUGGACCCCAAGUCCCCUGUCAUCAAGCAAGUGUGGGCCAGUGCCAUGGAACUGUCAGAACAAUGUGUGGUCGAAGGGCUCUCUGGGGCGGUGCCUCCCACCGAGAUCUUCAUGGACCAGGACCUAGGCCAGCAAGACAAGGAUGAGAUCAUUAUGCUACUGGGGAGAGAAAUCAAUCGGCUCUCUGAUUUUGAAAUCGAGUCCAAAUACAAAGAUGCAGUGAUAAUGAACCUGCGGGGUGAGUUGGCUGAACUGAGUCAAAGGCUAUCAGAGACAGCCGCCUGUGGCACCACAGCUAGGCAGAGCGACAGGAGUGCCCUGAAGCUCCAGGGCCUGGAUGAAGACAAUGAUCUCAGGCAGAAGGAGAUUGAGAGCAUGAAAAGCCAGAUCGAUGCCCUUCAAAAAGGCUAUAGCCAGGUGCUAAGCCAGACCCUGGCUGACCGAAACUCGGAAAUCGCAUUACUGAAGAAUGAAGGCGAACACUUGAAGAGAGACCAUGCCAUCACAUCAGGGAUGGUGACGUCUUUACAGAAAGACAUGACAGCACGGGACGAGCAGGUUCAACAGCUGAAGGAGGAGGUGAGUCAAUUAAAGAGCCAGAACAAAGAAAAGGAGUACCAGCUGGAAGUCCUGGGCUCCAGGUGUUCAGUGCUGAAAGAAGAGCUGAGGAAGGAAGAGGCCCAGAAGGAGUGCAGGGAGGCUCAGGAGAAGGAGUUGAAACUCUGCAGAAGUCAAAUGGAAGACAUGGAGAAAGAAUUGAAGAAGCUCAGGGAGGAACUGAAGAAGAACAGUUCCAGUCAGAGUACCAACUCCAAGACGCUACGAGAAAAGAGUAAGCUAGAGUACUUCAGAAGCCAGGUCAUCAAAGCCACUUUUGGAAAAGCAAAGCCGUUCCGUGACAAGCCUGUCACCGACCAGCAGCUGAUAGAGAAGAUCGUCCAGAUCACCGAGGACAACCUCAGCUUCCAUCAGAGGAAGUGGGCCCUGCAGAAGGAUACUCACCUGAGCAACUCCAAGCAGGAGGAGACCAUGGAGAACAUGGAGAAACUGAGGACACUGCUGA